AAAUCUUUCAGAAUAUCCAACAAAAUAACAACUGACAAUUCUUGAGUCUAGUUUUUUUUUUAUUUAGACUAUAAGGCCUUGCCUUAAUUGGACAUCCCCAAAUGUGCAAAUGUUUUAUACUAGACUUCUUGUUGACGAAAACUCAUAAAGAGUCUUUACAGUCGCUUUAAUUAGAACUAUGUUGAGUACAUAUAUUGUGGUUUUUAAUGCUUU
rnacentral:lncRNA from 1 species